GUAUUUAUGUGGCAGGGGAGAUAACAUGGUCAUGAAACUGGUUUUCCUAGGGUGAGGUUUAUCCAUUGCACUUUGCAUGUGCUGAUCCCUGCAAUUUCCGCAAAUGCAGGAAACUUGACUGCAUAACGUGUGGUAGUGAGGUACUGUGUUUGUGCUCUCCACU
rnacentral:snRNA from 1 species